GUAGGAGCGGGUAGUACUUUUUUGUUUUAUAACUGCUUGGUGUACUGCAGUAGUGUGACACGUUUAUUUAGAGCGGGCAAGCUUUUUCCCUCAGAGUGACACCUCCUGUCAGACCGUGGCUCCUAUCGCUCCUUCACUUCCUGGACACCUCAGCUCCACCGCAGUGUUUCCAGGAUGCUUUUCAGUCCGACGGUCCCGGUGCUUCCUCCGCCGUCUUCGUACCCCUGCGGCGGUGUAACGUCAGUUUGACUGACACGCAGCCUCACACGUUAACGGGUAUCUAACCGGAGGUCGUGCUCCGGCUGCGUCUGAACUGUGAGCCGAGGAUAGCUGCGAGAACAGCAGAGCGUUAGCCAGGUAGCCUGCUGGUUGGGGGCUCGUCCGGACGACGGGCACACGGAGCGCAGUAUGGCCGGAGGCAGCCACAGCCAGGCGGCGGAGCAGAAGGCAGCGAGCCUAGGGCAGAGUGAUGUCAACAGGAGGUUGAAGUACAUCAGUCUGGCUGUGCUGGUGGUCCAGAAUGCAUCGCUCAUCCUCAGCAUCCGAUAUGUCCGCACGUUGCCAGGCGACCGCUUCUUCACAACGUCAGCUGUCGUCAUGGCGGAGGUCCUGAAGGUCCUGACGUGUCUGCUCAUCAUCCUGCUGCAGAAGAGAGUCAAUGUGAAGGAGACGGCGUUCUUGCUGCUCGACUCCAUUGUGUUUCAGUACAAAGACACUCUGAAACUGGCAGUUCCCUCACUCAUCUACACUCUGCAGAACAACCUGCAGUACGUGGCCAUCUCCAACCUGCCGGCCGCCACCUUCCAGGUGACCUAUCAGUUGAAGAUCCUCACCACAGCUCUGUUCAGUGUGUUGAUGCUGAGGAAGUCUUUGUCCAAAGUUCAGUGGUUUUCUCUGCUGCUGCUGUUCAUCGGUGUUGCCGUCGUACAGGUGCAACAGGAGGGGAACAAGGAGGCGUCAGUGGCCAACAGCGCCAAUCAGAACUACACGGUGGGUCUGAUUGCUGUAGUGAUCAGCUGCCUGUCAUCAGGAUUUGCUGGUGUUUACUUUGAGAAGAUCCUGAAGGGGAGCUCGGCCUCUGUCUGGAUGAGGAACGUGCAACUGGGGAUCUUCGGCACAGUGCUCGGCCUGCUGGGAAUGUGGUGGAACGAUGGCCCUGCCAUCGCUGAGCGUGGCUUCCUGUUUGGUUACACUGGCAUGGUGUGGUGUGUCAUCUUCAACCAGGCCUUUGGCGGGCUGCUGGUGGCCGUGGUGGUGAAGUACGCUGACAACAUCCUGAAGGGCUUUGCCACCUCCUUCUCUAUCAUUGUCUCCACGGUGACAUCCAUCUACCUGUUUGCAUUCCAUGUGGACCUGCUCUUCAUGAUGGGGGCGGGGCUCGUGAUUUGUGCUGUCUACAUGUACAGUCUCCCCAAAGCGCCCGGUGUCAGCUCUUCAUCCCUGAGGUCUUCCUCAGCAUCGUCAACGUUGCCAGUGACAGAAAGAGACGCUCAGAUGGAGGCGUUUCAGCCAAAGUCAGUGCUCGUGAAGUGACAUGCUCUAUUUCUCUCUUUCUCUCUCUAUGUGGUGUGUCCCGGUGCUUACUUCCUGUUUGCUGUUGGCAGGGUCAGAGGUCAAACCCUGACUUAUCUGCUGCUGCUGCUCACUCUCUCUCAGCUGCUAUCUGCAAAGGUGUCUUGCCCUCUGAUAGCCUCCUGAGUCCAGCUUCUCCUCACCUCCCUUGACCUGUGCCCCCCUCCACCCUCCUUCCUACCCCCUGACCUCCUCGACAACUUCUGAAGUUGUUUUCACUCCGGGUACCUAACGAGCGGUACACCCUGUGCUUCCCUUAACCUUCACCUGGCAUAAUCUCCCGGGUUGACGCAGACUGUCCUGCUUUGUUUUUCUUUGAUCUCCUGUCAGACUCCUCACCUCCUCCAGACCACCUGACUCUCUGACCUCUGCCCCACCCUCUCGGAAUCUCCCCCUGGCCUGAUGCUGACCUCUACUUGCCCCCCAGCCUCCUCUUUUACUUUUGACCCUCUGACUUCCUCUGGGCUUCAGGACUUGCUGACCUGCCUGAACUCUUCUGGCUCAAUAUUAGACCUCCACCCUCAGAUGUCAUGACCUUUUGACCUCCUGACCCCUUCCUCAUCUCACAAAGGAGACAGACUUUCUUUCAGACUUCCUCUGAACCUUGUCCAACCUUAUUCACCGCCUGCUGACAUCUAGACCUACCCUCCCUUGACCCUGACCUGUUUACCUUGUGCAAACCUCUUCCUGAAAUCUGACAACACGUGAAGGCUCAGAGGCCAAGAGGAGGUGCUUUCUUUUCUUUAGGUUAGUUCUUUCAGCUCGGCCUCUGCCCUCCAUCACAGUCUCCUGGACAUAAAAGAGCAGCCCCCCUCACAGAGGAUGACCUGAGGAUCCAGUGUCCUCCUUAGAGCUGAAAACUAACAUUUGGUCUGUGAUGCAGAGGCAGACUCCUCAUUUUGCUGCUUUCCAGCUGAACUCUGAACUUGCUCCAUCCCUCAGGAGGAGGAGAUGAGGGAGGAGGACAGCUCUUCUAAACACUGGUUUGAACGAGGCUGAGAAGUGAAACCAAUGCAGAAGUGCCAAAAGCUGCUGUUCCUCGAGCAGCCACUAGAGGCUGGCUUCAAACGGGAGUCGGUCCCCGUAGAUUCCCAUUAAAAUGCCCAACUUUACAGCAGAAAUAAACAUGUUUACAGCCUAGUACAAAAACCGGUUUUGGUCUCUAGCUAAUUUCCCCUUCCACUAACACUGUAUGGGGGUGAAAUUUUAUAUAACUCAUCCAUUUAAACUCUAAUGGGACUAAUAGUUAUGGGUUAAUUAAGGGUGUGGCUGCUUUGAGUGACAGGCGGGACAGAUAGCUUCAUUCAGCCCGUCUCAGUUCUGCUCACGCUCUGCCUCUUUGCCCAUUUCUGGAUUAGCCAUAGCACGUGGAAUGAAGUGUUGCCAAUACGGCGGUGGCCAGAGUUGAGCUACAAAAACGCUCUUCAGCAAACCAGUGCGUGAUGUCACGAGCUCAGGGAGGUGACGUGUCUCCUCCCCCCGCCGUCUAUGACACAGACUAACAGCUCACAGUGCAGCAGCAGCAGCAGGAGGAGGAGGAGGAGGAGCAGCAGCAGCGUCUCAGAGACCCUGACCACCGGCCUGUCUGUUGCCCUUGCUGCCUUAAAACUCUUCACAUUACUAACGAACAGAGAAAAGGCCUUAUGCUGACCAGGGAUGAUGUGUUGAACGCUGAUUAUUGUUACCGCCGGAGGAGGAUCUGCAGAUCGAGGGUUUUCACUGUGCAGUCUCCAGAGAAAACACUGUGACCUACAGCAGGACAGUCGCACCUCCACAUUUCCUGUCAAUUAUUUUCAUUGUUCAGUUGACAAAAUGUCCUUCUCAGGUUUCCAGUGUCUUCACAUCUUUCUUCAGUCGACAAAACCUAUUAAUACCGACACAGCUGGAAAUCCGUUUUCUGUCAGCAGAGCAGUUGUUUCAGCUCGGUUUCAUGUAGAACAUCAGAAAAGUCAUACAGGAUCUGGACGCUUUUUAAAUUCAUGGUGGAGAUCCUGUGGUUUCACAGUGUCAGAGCUCAACAACCUUUGGUAUUCAGAAGCUGUUGUCUCCCUUUAUCUGGAUAAGUGCAAGGUACCAGAAGAAGCAGCCUGAGAGCAGACGCACAGGGCCGCAGGCAUUUGGAUCUGACGGAGAUGUAGCCGCACAGGUGUUGGUAGAAGUGAAGGUCAAGGGUCAAAGUGUUGAUUUGUCAUAUGCACAGUUAGGAAACGUGUUUCCCUCUACCUUACUUUGCUGUCCACAUGAAUGACACAAAAUACAAAUGAAAUAUAAAGUAGAUAAGUAACACUAAAUCUAAGGCACUUUAAGCAGGCUCACUGCUUCAUCUGAGUACUGAAGUGAAACAGCCUUUAACACGAGAGAGCAGUGUUUAUGGCUCAUUCACUUGAGUCCUGUGGCGAAGCAGUGAGCCUUGGUGUAAUCACAGUGACAGCUGCUUUGUGUUUGGUGAAGAUCUAACGGCCAUCACAAACUAAUCCUGCAGGAAUGUGUACUUGCAUGUCCAUGAUUGGUCGACGCGACCUUGUCAGGUGAUGUCACAUUGAACCAAAUGGAACUUUUCUGCAGAGCCUUUGUGAUGCUGGUGCCCACUACAUAACACACCCCUAUUCAAGCAAAUGAGAAGGGCUUACAGAAAGCACAGGCUCUUUGAAUCUGGCCUCGGUUGUCGUGUGACCUGGUGACUCCAGAACCAAAAGGACAUAAUGAAUUUGUAGAAAACACUGUUUGAAAAAGGGUCUGAGCUGACAGAAAAUCUCAAAAAGAAAUCAAACAUCAGUGACAGGAGGCGUUCGUUGUCGGUCACAGUUGAGUCGGCUGUAGCCGAUCAGUGGACACUUUAGUCAGAACAAACAUUUUACAAAGCAGAGGAUGAAUGAGAUGACAGGAUGAGCUGAUCGGCUCUGCUGGAUCCAUUGGAGUCCAGUCGUUCCUGAUCAGCUGCUGCACAGUGAAAACGUCUGGCUGCAGGUGGCCUCCGUGUGUUUGGUGCCUUUUCCUCUCACCUGUACAGAAGCCAUAGGGUCAUGUUGGUGUAGAGCUUACAGUCUCCCAGAGCAGCGGGAGCUCUGUACAGUCUGGAGUCUGUGCAGCUGCUCAGAGACUGAGCGGCUCUGGGACCACACAGACUGGUUAGUGGGUCAGACUCGGGGUGGGUGGCUGGAAGUCACGGUUGCCUGUUUGUCAUUCGAGCCGCUUCCUGGCGGUUCUGCUGCUGUUUCGCUUUGGGAAGAAUGUUUAUGUUCCUUUGGUCUCUAGGUCACAAUAGGUGUUGAACGGCAGUCAGGCCCGUUCUCUCUCCGAAACACAAGGACAUGACCCCCACAGCACAUCACCUCCAGCCCUCG